rfam:Physcomitrella patens subsp. patens PHYPAscaffold_363 genomic scaffold, whole genome shotgun sequence.
GAAGCAGAUGACUAAAAAAAGAAUAGGGACAUCAGAGAAACCCGAAAGGGUUGAGAUGAAAUAUUCGAUGGGAAUCUCUAUGAUGCUUC